AAUGAACGCUGGCGGCAGGCCUAACACAUGCAAGUCGAAGGGAAACAGGAAGCAGCUUGCUGCUUUGCUGACGAGAGGCGGACGGGUGAGUAAUGCCUGGGAAACAGCCUGAUGGAGGGGGAGAACUACUGGAAACGGUAGCGAAUACUGCAUAACGUCGUAGGACCCAAGAAGCGGACCUUCGGGACACUUGCCAUCGGAUGUGCCCAGAUGGGAUUAGCUAGUAGGUGGGGUAACGGCUCAGCCAGGCGACGAUCCCUAGCAGGUCUGAUAGGAUGACCAGCCACACUGGAACUGAGACACGGUCCAGACUCCUACGGGAGGCAGCAGUGGGGAAUAUUGCACAAUGGGCGCAAGCCUGAUGCAGCCAUGCCGCGUGUAUGAAGAAGGCCUUCGGGUUGUAAAGUACUUUCAGCGGGGAGGAAGGGAGUAAAGUUAAUACCUUUGCUCAUUGACGUUACCCGCAGAAGAAGCACCGGCUAACUCCGUG
rnacentral:rRNA from 1 species